rnacentral:rRNA from 1 species
UGGGGAAUAUUGGGCAAUGGAGGAAACUCUUACCCAGCAAUGCCGCGUGAGUGAAGAAGGUCUUCGGAUUGUAAAGCUCUUUGAUUGGGGAUGAAAAAAUGACGGUACCCAAAGAACAAGCCCCGGCUAACUACGUGCCAGCAGCCGCGGUAAUACGUAGGGGGCGAGCGUUGUCCGGAAUGACUGGGCGUAAAGGGUGUGUAGGCGGUUUAUUAAGUUAGAAGUGAAAUACCUAGGGCUUAACCCAGGUGCUGCUUCUAAAACUGAUAGACUUGAGUGCAGUAGAGGAAAGUGGAAUUCCUA